UACGGAGGGUGCGAGCGUUGUCCGGAAUCAUUGGGCGUAAAGGGCGCGUAGGCGGCUUGUCACGUCGGGUGUGAAAGCCCGGGGCUUAACCCCGGGUCUGCAUUCGAUACGGGCUGGCUAGAGUGUGGUAGGGGAGAUCGGAAUUCCUGGUGUAGCGGUGAAAUGCGCAGAUAUCAGGAGGAACACCGAUUGCGAAGGCAGCUCGCUGGAACGUUACUGACGCUGAGACGCGAAAGCGUGGGGAGCAAACAGG
rnacentral:rRNA from 1 species